rnacentral:tRNA from 1 species
GGGCCCGUAGCUCAGCUUGGAUAGAGCGACAUCCUCCUAAGGUGAAGGUCACGGGUUCAAAUCCCGUCGGGCCCG